UACAAGAAAUUUUAAAUAAGUUAAACUCAUAAAUAGUUGUAAUUAUGUUGUUUCAAUAUGAAUAGUAAUUUCGUUUUUUAAAUUAUGUAAUAUUACAUUGGGAAUAUGUUAUAUGUUACUAUAAAUAUUUGUUUAUUUCAUGAAAUAAAAAAUAAAACAUAUAAUCUGAUUACGAAAACAUUUCUUCAAAUAUUUGUUCUCUCCGAUGCCUGGUUACGUUUUUUACAUCUGACUGCAAUGGUAUUUCACUAUUAACAUCACUACUUAUGUCAUAAGGUUCUAUUACUGUAUUAUCAUGUUUGCUUUCACAAAUAUUGUGAAGCACACAACAAGCCAUCAUAAUUUUCACACAGAUAUUGAUAUUUAAGUUCUCUAAAUGUUGUAGCCUGCGGAACCUCCCCUUCAAAAGUCCAAACACAUGUUCAACAAUAAUGCGUGUCGAUGAAUGUUUAAAAUUAAACACUUUUUGAUUGUUACUUAGGGCACCGUUGUCCUUAAAUGGAGGUACUAACCAACUCAGAGAUGGAUAUGCUGAAUCACCCAAAUACAGUGAGGACCUCCUUAACAACCGAGCAUCAUGCAGAGAUCCCGGCUCUCCACAAUACACGUCAAUAAAUUGCCUGAAGCUAUUGACAGUUCCUUGUAUUAGCAAACUAAAAAUCAGUACUACUUUCACUACUGCUCCCACUAGUUUCUGGACCUUCCAAUAGAUUAAUAAUGACUGGUAAUAAAUCCAUAAUUAACUACAAAACCAAUUUUUAGGUUAGGUGUUUUUUGGUAAACAAAAUGAGUGUUCCAUUCAACUUCAGAAUAGAGUAGUUGGGAGUGGUUCACUUAAAAUCUUAGAUCAUUUGAAAGGAAAG